rnacentral:tRNA from 1 species
UAUUUUAAUAGCUUAUUUAGAGUAUAAUAUUGAAGAUAUUAAGGAAGUUUUAACUUUAGAAUGU